GACUCCCCUUCACUUGAUCGACUCCUGGACCUGCUUGGGAAGCUACGAUCGGUAAUCUUGAAGGAAGUUCUGUGGUUACUUGAUCGACUUCUCCCUCUCCCUCUCCCUCACUGUUUGCGAUCGGCUCUACCCUGAGAAUCUUAAAGCAUCAGACGACGAUCCUUCUUCUUACAGUCGUAACAACUAUUUGAUUCAACCCCAAUUUCCAAAUCUAGUCGGUUCUGUAUUUAUCACCAUAAACCCUAGAGAAUUUUGUAAAAUCUGCUGGGAUGGCACUGUCAGUCUCUGACUUACCUGCGAUGUAUACACUGCUUUCCAAUUCACUUAGUGGCGAUGAAGCCUUGCGGAAACCUGCUGAAUCAACGCUUGCUCAGUCCGAAAACUUGCCGGGGUUUUCUUCUUGUCUAAUGGAAGUGAUAACUGCAAAGGACUUGGUAUCUCAAACGGAUGUUCGUUUAAUGGCAUCAUUGUAUUUCAAGAACAGUAUCAAUCGGUACCGGAGGAACAAGCGUGACUCGCCGCAGAGAGAGUGCAGUUAUGGCUCUAGAUUGUUGUGGCAUGAGGUUGGGAAGGCAACAAAUCAGGUGUAUGUAAUUGUAUUGCAAACACAAAGUACCCAGUUGGAAACUACAAUGCACAUGUUGUGGCUUAUUCUGAUGUGAAUUGGCCCCAUGUCUCAGAACAGUUUGUAACCUCUCUUGGGUUAUGCUUCAACCCAUAUGUGACCCAGGUAAGCUAAGGGAGGAACUCUUACCCGUUCAGUGAUUUGUGUUGACCCAGAACACACUCUUACCCGGUUAGCGCUUACCCAACUUGUGUUGGUAAACGUAACUUUGCAACCAUGGGUUUGAAGCACCAAAAUAAUGUGUUUACAAAAUGCUAAGCCAACGUUAUGUACAAAAACUCCCUCCCCAACUUUUUCAAGGCCAAGGAUCUUGGUGCGUCAAGGUCAUUGAGACUGCCUUGAACAAGGACCUGGACAACUCAUGGGAGGUGCUUCCCGAACCAAUACAAACAAUACGUAUCUGGCUUCCAUGAGUUACCUGUUCAUUGAAAUGGUCUCAUUGUAGUACUGGAAAAUUACAAACAACUUGUCUUAUAAAUUAUAUCUAUAAUUGGAUGAUACGUCUCGCAUUAUAGUCAUUUAGGACGCUUUUAGUGUUAAUUAUUAUAGCCUAUUAGGACACUUUUUUAGUAUUACGUAGUUCAUUUUAUAGGACUCAAAAAUUUGUUUCAUAAUUAUAUAACUUAUUAAGACACAUAUUUUGGUA